GUGGCUGUCUUUGCCGUUGCCAAGUAGAGAAUGACGAUUAAUCUAGAAUGUAUCGUAAGUUAUGAAAUAGUACAUGAACAUUUCUUUUUAAAAUUUGGUGAAAAAUCAGAAUUUGUAAAUAAAAAAUGAAAAGAAAUAUUAGAAAAAUAGGGGAGAAAAUUCAUCCAUCCCAGCCCAUCCCCCAUCUCCAUGCUCCUUUCUCCCCUCCCUCCCCCUCGAUUCUAACCACCCUAGCCUGCUAGCCACCCCUCCACCACGACCAUCCCACCCCACACCCACCUGAAACCCAACCUAGAUCAAAUUCAAUUUUGUGUAUGUCAGUCCAGUUAAAAGAAGAAAAAAAAACCCAUAUAUGGAACUUGAGUUUCGUGGAUGUCAAAGAGAGAGAGAAGGGUUGGAUGGUGGGAGAAGAGGUAGAGGGAGGGUGCUGGAUGAUGGAUGUGAGGUUUUUGGUUGUCGCACAGAGAGAUGGGGAGAUAAGAGAUAAAAAGAAGAAGAAGGGAGAAGGUGAAAUUGAAGCCCACAGGUUAUGAUCUUUCUAGUGGGUAAAAGAGACCCGUUUGUAACUUAAGCUGCUUUUCAAUCCAGCCGUCCAAUUUCAUCCAACGGCUGCGAUCUGUCCUCAAUUACAUAAUAUUCCUCAAGAUAGACACACUCAUCAUACGAGACCAAGGCGGCAUUUGUAUAGGCGUACAUCUUUCUUCUUCACAGGAGGCGUCUUUUUUCUUUCACAGUCGAGGGCGUCUUUCUUCUUCGCAGGCGAGGGCGUCUUUCUUCUUUGCUAGUGUCUGGCACGUCUUGCUGAGAAAGUCAGCGUCUUCCUUCUGGAACCCGCGUCCCAGCACAAUCUCUCUCACUGUUUGAUUUUUCCGCUAACCUCUCUCUGCGUGAAAAACCUCUCUCGGCCACCCUCGUUUUGUCAGCCUCCUCUCUCUCUCUCUCAGCUGUCGCGCCGCCGUCACUCUCACUCACGCAGCAGCAGCAGUUCGCACAGACCAGCGUCAGUUUUCACGCAGCUUCCAGCAGCAGUCGCACCUUCCAGCAGCAGUCGCACCUUCCAGCAGCAGCAAUUUCCAGCAUAAAUUCUGUCUCUCUCAGGCUUACCUUACCAUGAAUCAUGCUGGAAGUUUUCCUGACUAUAACAAAUUCGAGACAUUACCAUGUUAUUUCAGCACCAAUGCAUAUGGCACUCCCAGAACGACUGUGGGUGGUGUACAGUGUGACAACUUUUUUCAGGCUAUCGGGGUUGCUGUUGCUGAAAAUGUGUACGCUGACAUUGGCCCUAACCUGCAGGAUGAGAACCUGGACAUUG